rnacentral:rRNA from 1 species
UACAGGGGGGGCAAGCGUUGUUCGGAAUUACUGGGCGUAAAGGGUUCGUAGGUGGCCAACUUAGUCAGACGUGAAAUCCCUCAGCUUAACUGGGGAACUGCGUCUGAUACUGGAUGGCUUGAGUGCAGGAGAGGAACGCGGAAUUCCAGGUGUAGCGGUGAAAUGCGUAGAUAUCAGGAGGAAUACCGAUGGCGAAGGCAGGUCUCUGGGCUAUAACUGACGCUCAUGCACGAAAGCGUGGGGAGCAAACAGG